UUAAGUUCAGCGGGUAUCCCUACCUGAUCCGAGGUCAAAGUAAUAGAAUAGCUUGCUGGGAGGAGGCAGGCUGGAGCCGUGACGCAAUGUGCUGCGCACGAAGCCAACUUGCCGGCUGCCAAUGAAUUUGAGGCGAGUCCUCGCACAGAGGCGGGACAAACACCCAACACCAAGCAGAGCUUGAAGGUUUAAAUGACGCU
rnacentral:misc_RNA from 1 species